rnacentral:rRNA from 1 species
UAACACAUGCAAGUCGAGCGAGCGGAACCAACAGAUUUACUUCGGUAAUGACGUUGGGAAAGCGAGCGGCGGAUGGGUGAGUAACACGUGGGGAACCUGCCCCUAAGUCUGGGAUACCAUUUGGAAACAGGUGCUAAUACCGGAUAAUAAAGCAGAUCGCAUGAUCAGCUUUUGAAAGGCGGCGUAAGCUGUCGCUAAGGGAUGGCCCCGCGGUGCAUUAGCUAGUUGGUAAGGUAACGGCUUACCAAGGCGACGAUGCAUAGCCGAGUUGAGAGACUGAUCGGCCACAUUGGGAACUGAGACACGGCCCAAACUCCUACGGGAGGCAGCAGUAGGGAAUCUUCCACAAUGGACGCAAGUCUGAUGGAGCAACGCCGCGUGAGUGAAGAAGGUUUUCGGAUCGUAAAGCUCUGUCGUCGGUGAAGAAGGAUAGAGGUAGUAACUGGCCUUUAUUUGACGGUAAUCAACCAGAAAGUCACGGCUAACUACGUGCCAGCAGCCGCGGUAAUACGUAGGUGGCAAAGCGUUGUCCGGAUUUAUUGGGCGUAAAGCGAGCGCAGGCGGAAAAAUAAGUCUAAUGUGAAAGCCCUCGGCUUAACCGAGGAA